rnacentral:snoRNA from 1 species
AAGACUAUACUUUCAGGGAUCAUUUCUGUAGUUUGUUACUAGUGAAGUUUCUCUGAACGUGUAGAGCACCAGAACACAUG